rnacentral:misc_RNA from 1 species
UGUGGGAGCGGGCUUGCUCGCGAUGCGGGCGGCGCGGUUUGCCUGCAUGACCGCGUAGAUGCCAUCGCGAGCCAGCCCGCUCCCACA